GAGACACCCUUAUGGAGGAAAACUUACUUCAGUGGGGCUUUGGUGCUCACUAAGUUUUCCCCUUGAGUGUAUCACU
rfam:Myotis brandtii contig235007, whole genome shotgun sequence.